CUGGGGGUUGCUGAGCCAGCAGGGCCUCCGGAUGGGGUAGACUGAAUAGCAGUACUUUCCCGUCUGAGCAGGCCAGAGCCAAGAGACCCAGCCGGGGCAGGAGAGGAGCCUAAAGGGUAAAAGAAUCAGAAAAAAGGGUGGAUGUGCAAUCUUUACCUGUUUAUUCGGUAGAGGGUGCCAUCUUCAGGUAGCCCUUCACGUUGUACAGAAAACAAUGGAGACUUCUCCUCCUGGGGCAGUAGUGUCACCCUUCCUAAGCUUCAGAGAUGUUGCUUCAACUUACAGCUCAGAUAACAAGUGCCACUUCCAGGCUAAAGGAAUCCAUUCAGCAAACUCCCAGUAUGAAUGUUUCUGCUCUCGGCUGGAGAAACAGAA